GGGACCUGGAGGACUGACCACGCCAGGAGCCCACCGAAGAGAUGGUAUCGAGGAACGGGGACCACCACAAGCGUCGCGGGGAACCCGAGACCCCGAGAUAACGGGUGUUGGACCUCAGUGCCUUCCCACAGCGCAUAUCCUGGGGAUUUCUUGGGGAGUACAGCUUGCAGUCACCGUACCUGGAUCUUCUGUCUUCUAUCUGUCCCUGCCAGCAUUCCCUCACUUCCAGGCCUUCACAAGGAGAGCAGCUGCACUAAAGACCCACUGACUUCAGAUGGAAAGGACACAAGUGAGUUGAAGCAGCCCUUCUUCAGCAUGUGGUAAACAAAUUUUGUAGCUUUAGUGGACUUGUCUUUUAAAAAAACAAAUGCACAGCUUAUGUCCCAAGACUGAUUAUGGAAUCCUUAAUUUAUCUACUUAUCUUUUGAUGAAUGGUUUUUUUCUUCCACUGAAAUGUAUAAUGUCCUCUCAUAGUUAAACUGCAGAAUCUUUUCCACUCAACUUCCUCCCUCUGGGAUGUAAUAAAGAGACAACUUAUGGCCUAACAGCA